UACGGAGGGUGCAAGCGUUAAUCGGAAUUACUGGGCGUAAAGCGUGCGCAGGCGGUUUUGUAAGACAGGCGUGAAAUCCCCGGGCUCAACCUGGGAAUUGCGCUUGUGACUGCAAAGCUGGAGUGCGGCAGAGGGGGAUGGAAUUCCGCGUGUAGCAGUGAAAUGCGUAGAUAUGCGGAGGAACACCGAUGGCGAAGGCAAUCCCCUGGGCCUGCACUGACGCUCAUGCACGAAAGCGUGGGGAGCAAACAGG
rnacentral:rRNA from 1 species